AGCUCCAAUAGCGUAUAUUAAAGUUGUUGCAGUUAAAAAGCUCGUAGUUGGAUUUCUGGGAGGGUGCCAAUGUCCGCCGUCGCGCGUGCGCAGCGGCGCCCUUCCAUCCUUCUGUUAACGCCUCUCGGCAUUCACUUGCUGGUGGCGGGCUCAGAUAUUUUACCUUGAGAAAAUUAGAGUGUUUCAGGCAGGCUAGGCCGGAAUACAUUAGCAUGGAAUAAUGGAAUAGGACUACGGUCUCUUUGUUGGUUUGAGGGACUGCAGUAAUGAUUAAUAGGGAUAGUUGGGGGCAUCAGUAUUUAAUUGUCAGAGGUGGAAUUCUCGGAUUUGUUAAAGACUAACUUAUGCGAAAGCAUUUGCCAAGGAUGUUUUCAUUA
rnacentral:rRNA from 1 species